UGCCUAACACAUGCAAGUCGAACGGACAUAACCAAGUUAUAGCGAUAUAAUGCGGGUAUGUUAGUGGCGAACGGGUGAGUAACACGUGAGCAACCUGCCCUGUACAACGGGAUAACAGUUGGAAACGACUGCUAAUACGGUAUAAGACCACACUGCGGCAUCGCAGAGGGGUAAAAGUGAAUUAGCGGUACAGGAUGGGCUCGCGUCCAAUUAGCUAGUUGGUGAGGUAACGGCUCACAAAGGCGACGAUUGGUAGCCGACCUGAGAGGGUGAUCGGCCACACUGGAACUGAGACACGGUCCAGACUCCUACGGGAGGCAGCAGUGGGGAAUAUUGGGCAAUGGAGGAAAAACCUCUUACCCAGCAAUGCCGCGUGAAGGAAGAAGGUCUUCGGAUUGUAAACUUCUUUUAUUGGGGACGAAUAAAUGACGGUACCCGAUGAAUAAGCCCCGGCUAACUAUGUGCCAGCAGCUGC
rnacentral:rRNA from 1 species